rnacentral:lncRNA from 1 species
GGACCUCCACUGUGAGGCUGACCCAUCCCAACCCCACGCCCCCCAACUGGAUCCGAUGAAUCUGGAGUCACAGGGCAUUAUGAUUUAAGAUCAAUGAAAAAUAGAUCAAUUUAGUGUUUCCACAUUUUAUACACACACCCCCAUGUAAACUAAGGCAGCGUGUGGCAAAACAGCCCAGGGCUGACAAAAACAACUCAAGAUUCACAUUUACUUUAUGACAUUUCUGUCUACAGAUUUGACUUGGGAAAAUUAAACUGAGUAGAUAGAAUAGCCAUUUAAAAAUCACAGUGGUAAAGCUAUGAUCAGAAAGUUUGAUAUGUGUUAUGCACAAAAAAAUGUAUGGGAACCAAUUGAUCCCAAUGGAAAGAUUUCAGAAAAGUAAAAAUAAAAAGAUAUUUUUAAAAAGGAAAUUGUUUGUAUUUCAUAGAAAAUGGAUCAAGGAAUUAAAUUGGCUUAAAUGGUAUUACCUCAAAAAAUACCUUGUGAACAAAAAUUGAUAACUGGUGUAGUUCUGACUGACCUAUUUUUUAUUCAUUUACAUGGAGUCAUGACAAGGGAAUUGAAAAAUGCCCUCUGUUCUCCUGGAGAGUGUGUCCUGCAGGGGGAGCAGACGCUACACGGUGAGUGACCACAUGGUCACGAUGGGAUAAAUGCUAAGUCCAGGUGAUCCUCAGAUCAUCCUGUGGCGUGGAUGAAAUUGAUGAAUGAAUAGAAGAUGCACAAUCCAAGCUGUGGCCAAGAAGUCCAAGAUCAUACGCAUGUGAGAUUGGGGAUAAUCACCCACCUAUGAAGACAGCAGUAGGAUGCUCAUUAAGACUCAGUCGACAACACUUUUAGGUAAAGUUCACGCUGUUUGGAAAGCACGUUUCAUGCCUGGUGUCAAAACCUCCAAAAGCACAUGGAAAAGUAAAGGAGCCGGUCCAUGAUUCCCUGUCCAAAAUAACAAGUAAAAAGGACGGCAGGCCGGUUAACAGACAGGGAGCCCACGGCCGGAUUCGUUCCGGUCAGAUCCAAUAGAACCCCCUCAAGUUGCUCAAGAAUUGACACACGGGCAGGGACAGCAGCCCAGCAGCAGACUCAGGCCUUGCUUCACACUCCCACCGCUGCGAGGCUGCUGUGGCUCAGAUGGUCUCUACACGAGCCUGCACACUGGAGAGGCGGCUCUGCUCCUCCCUCGGCCGUUUCACUCCCUCUCUCGAAAUCUUCAAGGGCCUCCCAUCGCACAGAGAACCGACUCCAAGUCCACAUGGUGACACAGUCUGGCCCCACCAACUCUCCAGCCUCGGCUCUCACACGCUUUGCUUGCCUGCCUGAUUCCCGCCACAGAGGCCCUCUGACUGUUCCCUGAGGACCCCGAGCACAUCCCUGCCUCAGGGCCUUUGCACUGGUGAUCCCUCUGGCCUGCUCUCGCACUUCAUCCAGAUAUCUGAUCAGAUGCCAUCUCCUUACAAAGGCCCGCACUGACCACCUGAUCGAAAUUGCCCCUCCCUCUUCUCCAUCCCUUAUCCUGCCUUUUAAAAAAAAAGCACCUACUACUUGAAUUUUAUGUUUAUUUGUUUAUUAUCUGGCUUCCCUCUACAAUAACGGUUGGCAAACUACAGACUGAGGGCCACCUCACACUUGCUGCCUGUUUUUGUAAAUAAAUUUUUGUUGGGACACA